rnacentral:tRNA from 1 species
UAGAUGAAUGACUGAGUGGUUCAAUGUGUCAAUUUUGAAAAUUGAAAUAAGAGAUUUUUUCUUAUCGUAGGUUCGAAUCCUACUUCAUCUAA